rnacentral:rRNA from 1 species
UACGUAGGGCGCAAGCGUUGUCCGGAAUUAUUGGGCGUAAAGAGCUCGUAGGCGGCCUGUUGCGUCCGCUGUGAAAUCCCGGGGCUCAACCCCGGGCCUGCAGUGGAUACGGGCUGGCUAGAGGCAGGCAGGGGAGAACGGAAUUCCUGGUGUAGCGGUGGAAUGCGCAGAUAUCAGGAGGAACACCAAUGGCGAAGGCAGAUCUCUGGGCCGUAACUGACGCUGAGGAGCGAAAGCAUGGGGAGCGAACAGG